AGCUCUUGAAGAUGGGGUCCUGGUUGACGGAGCCCGGGUUCUUGAUGUCCUGCCACCGCCGGAUCUCGACGUAGUGGAAGAGGAUGAACUCGAUGACGAAGAGCGUGGAGGAGGAGGCGAAGUAGGUCUCCUUGCCGGCGUCGUACCACUCGGGCGCGUUCAGCAGCCCCGCCUUGGUCAGCACCUCCGGGAUCAGCAUCCCCGCCACCCCCAGCAUCGCCCACCGCCCGUUCACCAGCUCCGCCUGCACGAACCACCGCAGGUCCUCCGGGUCCUCCGCCAGCGCCAGCGGGUCAAAACCAUUGUCACCCGCCAGACUGCACACGUAUCGUCCGUCAGUACGGUCGUAAACAUAUGUAACAGCUGCGUGCAUGGGCACGACGGAAGUGGUGUGGCGUGUCGUGUGGUCUGCUCACCUGCCGUCGAGGUAGGCAGGGGACUGGAGGCCGGGGAGCCAGGACCCCUUGGCCUGGACGGCGACGUCGCGGCGGGUGGACUUGGCGAGCCCGACGCGGCCGGAGUCGCCCAGGAACCGGGGGCUCGACGCUGACGCCGCCGGCCGGAGAGCGGCCACGGGAGCGCGGGCACUGACCGACGACAUCUUCUGCUACUCCUGACUAGAGAGCGCGUACGGCAGGAGAGUGAGAGUGCGCGCGUGUGUGUGUGGUGGUUCUGCCUCUCCGCACCUGCGCUUGGCCCUUUGUAUUGGGCUGCGCUUCGGUGAUUUGUGGGUGUGGUGAGCUGGGCCCCGGAGGUCGAGAUGGACGGCGUGUGUUGGCGCCACCGCGUCGUCCGACGGCUGCGAUGCGUUUGCGCCUGGAGACUGGAUAGAUGGACCAGUGGGAGACCGGGAGGCGUAUGUGCGUUAUCUGGAUGAUGGAUAAUGCGGAAUCAAAAGGGGGAUCGCUAUUGGUCGGGGAAACGCACGUUCGGUUUACCUGGCUGCCACGUCGAUCGGACGAUCCGUCAUGAUGUACAGCUGUACAUGGUGCCAUGGCGGGUUGGUCUGUUUGCUUCAACUUUCGAGCUCUUCCACGGGAAACCGGCUUUCGCCCUAGAAAUGGCACGGAUGGUCGAACGGAUACAAGGUGAUGGAAAGAACCCCAUAGAAGGCGGUCGCGGCGAGCCGUCACGAUCCCGUAAUCGAACAAGAAAAUAAGAGUCGCCACACCUAACAUGAGGCGACCUAGACUAUUGAAUCGGAACUCAACCGUGCCGCCUAGGAAAAUCAUAGACCAUUAUGCAUAAAACACAUCAAGUUAUCGCCGGAGAAAGUAAGUGUCGAUCCAAUCCGUGGAGUUCCAAUCCUGCGAGCAGAUAGCGAGGACCAAUGACAUUGACUACGAGGACACGUGUAAAUGAUAGGGGAUCAACGGAUCCACUCCACGACGAAGCCGAAGGCACCGAUGUGCUGUAACUGGAUGAUAUUUGUGUUCCCCGACAAUGCCCCGAGGAGGGUAAUGAUGUAGAGCGUUGAUACGUCUCCAACGUAUUUAUGGUGUUUUUAUUGUGUCAUGCUAUUAUAUUAUCAAUUUCGGAUGCUUUAUAUGCUAUUUUAUAUCAUUUUUAAGAACUAACCUAUUAACCGAGUGUCCAGUGUCAGUUCCUAUUUUUUGCGUGUUUUGACUUCUCAGAAAAUCAAUAACAAACGAAGUUCAAACAUGAUGAAACUUUAUGAUGAUUCUUUCUGGACCAAAAAGGGACCCCUAGAAGGUUCGGGAGGAGGCCAGAAGACGUAGGGAGAGCCACAAGCUCACAGGGUGCGCCCCCCCCCCCCCGGGGGNNNNNNNNNNNNNNNNNNNNNNNNNNNNNNNNNNNNNNNNNNNNNNNNNNNNNNNNNNNNNNNNNNNNNNNNNNNNNNNNNNNNNNNNNNNNNNNNNNNNGACGUCUAACUUGUUUUUGCAGGGUAUGAUUGUGAUGUGAUAUGGCCAAUGAUGUGAUGUGAUAUAUUGGAUGUAUGAGAUGAUCAUGUUGUAAUAGAAAUAUCGACUUGCACGUCGAUGGUACGGCAACCGGCAGGAGCCAUAGGGUUGUCUUUAUACUAACGUUUGUGCUUGCAGAUGCGUUUACUAUUUUGCUAGGAUGUAGCUUUAGUAGUAAUAGCAUAAGUAGCACGACAACCCCGAUGUCAACAUGUUGAUGGAUGAUCAUGGUGUGGCGCCGGUGACAAGAAGAUCGUGCCGGUGCUUUGGUGAUGGAGAUCAAGNNNNNNNNNNCUUGCAGAUGCGUUUACUAUAUUGCUAGGACGUAGCUUUAGUAGUAAUAGCAUGCGUAGCACGACAACCCCGAUGGCGACACGUUGAUGGAGAUCAUGAUGAUGGAGAUCAUGGUGUGACGCCGGUGACAAGAAGAUCGUGCCGGUGCUUUGGUGAUGGAGAUCAAGAAGCACGUGAUGAUGGCCAUAUCAUGUCACUUAUGAAUUGCAUGUGAUGUUAAUCCUUUUUGCACCUUAUCUUUCUUAGAACGACGGUAGCAUUAUGAGGUGAUCUCUCACUAAAAUUUCAAGACGAAAUUGUGUUCUCCCCGACUGUGCACCGUUGCGACAGUUCUUCGUUUCGAGACACCAGGUGAUGAUCGGGUGUGAUAGACUCAACGUUCACAUACAACGGGUGCAANNNNNNNNNNUGAAAUUGUGUUCUCCCCGACUGUGCACCGUUGCUACAGUUCGUCAUUUCGAGACACCACGUGAUGAUCGGUGUGAUAGACUCAACGUUCACAUACGACGGGUGCAAAACAGUUGCGCACGCGGAACACUCGGGUUAAGCUUGACGAGCCUAGCAUGUGCAGACAUGGCCUCGGAACACAUGAGACCGAAAGGUCGAUCAUGAAUCAUAUAGAUGAUGUGAUUAGCAUAGGGAUGCUUACCACUGAAACUAUACUCAACUCACGUGAUGAUCGGACUUGAGAUAGUGUAGGUGGAUCAUGAACCACUCAAAUGACUAGAGAGAUGUAAUUUUUGAGUGGGAGUUUAGCAGAUAAUUUGAUUAAGUUGAACUCUAAUUAUCUUCAACAUAGUCUAAGUCCACUUUGAAUAUAUUUGUGUUGUAGAUCAUGGCUGACGCAAGUGUCAUCCUGAAUUUUAAUACGUUCCUAGAGAAAGCUAAGUUGAAAGAUGAUGGAAGCAACUUUGUAGACUGGGCUCGUAAUCUUAAGCUAAUCUUACAAGCUGGGAAGAAGGAUUAUGUCCUUGAUGCUGCGCUAGGAGAUGAACCACCCGCUACGGCUGAUCAGGAUGUUAAGAACGCUUGGUUAGCGCGUAAGGAGGACUACUCAAUAGUUCAAUGUGCAGUCUUGUAUGGCUUAGAACCGGGACUUCAACGUCGCUUUGAGCGUCAUGGAGCAUUUGAGAUGUUCCAGGUGUUGAAGUUUAUCUUUCAGAAGAACGCCUGGAUCGAGAGGUAUGAGACCUCCGAUAAAUUCUAUGCUUGCAAGAUGGAGGAAAACUCGUCUGUCAGUGAACAUGUGCUCAAAAUGUCUGGGUACUCAAACCGUCUAGCUGAGCAGGGGAUUGAACUCCCGCAAGAGGCUAUCACUGACAGAAUCCUUCAAUCACUGCCACCAAGCUACAAAGGCUUUGUGUUGAACUACAACAUGCAAGGGAUGAACAAGUCACCCGGCGAGUUGUUUGCGAUGUUGAAAGUCGCAGAGUCUGAACUCCGUAAAGAGCAUCAAGUGUUGAUGGUGAAUAAGACCACUAGUUUCAAGAGAAACGGCAAAGGCAAGAAGGGUAAUUCAAAGAAGAGACUUGCCGGUAAACGAGAUUGAAAUAGGUAUGCGGAUACUGACGAUCGAAUCUCGGGCAAGUAACAUACCGAAGGACAAAGGGAAUGACAUACGGGAUUAUANNNNNNNNNNNNNNNNNNNNNNNNNNNNNNNNNNNNNNNNNNNNNNNNNNNNNNNNNNNNNNNNNNNNNNNNNNNNNNNNNNNNNNNNNNNNNNNNNNNNUGUGUGUGUGUGUGUGUGCACACUUGUGAUAGUGCAAGUGAUGUGUGUAUGUGUUUAUGUGGCUUAGUUGAAAAGUGGCUCAUGUGAUCUUGCUAGUGUGUUUGGGUGUGUAGUACUUGCAAAGUAUGUGCAUUGUGGAAUAGGUGAGAUGUGUGUGUUGAGGUGAUGUGUGUGUAAGUAGUGCACACAUAUGUGGUACCUAGCAGGAGUGUAUGUAUGUGUGGAUCCAUGUUUACUUGCAUAGCAGUUGUUCCUUCAUGUUGUGCUUGAGAUUAAGUGCUUGUGAUGAGGGUAUUGUGAUGAUAUGUGUGUGGUGAUAACAGCCCCAUUUUCAACACUUGUGCACCUCCUCAUGUUCAUAUGAGAGAGGACAUGAUGUGUGUGUGUGUGAGGGUGAUCUAGUGAAAGUUGUGCUAGUGGUGUUGANNNNNNNNNNGCAACACUUGUGCACCUCCUCAUGUUGAUAUGAGAGAGGGCAUGAUGUGUGUGUGUGAGGGUGAUCUAGUGAAAGUUGUGCUAGUGGUGUUGAUAUGCAUAACACAUACAUGGGGUUCAAACCCCCAUGUCACUUUUUCAUUGUGCACAUGAGCUCAACCUUUGUAGUUGUUGACUUAGUAGGAACUACAUGAAAUGAUGCCCAUUCCCUAGGCAUGAUUUGGAGUAGUUUCCUCUCCCUUAUUUUGUGGUCACUUGUUCCAAGUAAGUGCCCACAUAUUAUAUAUGAUUUUGGGGUAGAAUCUCCCAAGGAAUCCAGUGGUGAAGUUAGUUUUUCCAUUACGAUACUUUAUGGAGUUGACAUAUUCAGAUUUGUUGCAAGUUUGAUCUUUGAUUCCAUGGAAUAGGUGGAGCCCAAGGGCANNNNNNNNNNGCCAUUAGGAUAAUUUCUGGAGUUGACAUAUUCAGAUUUAUUGCAAGUUUGAUCUUUGAUUCCAUGGAAUAGGUGGAGCCCAAGGGCAUGAGUUUUUGUGUGAUAGUAGUAGGGUUUUGCUCUACACCAUAGUGGUGUCAUAUAUCACUUGGUGUUACUUGUGUGCAAACUAUGCCUAGACAAAGUGGGCAUGUGGUUGAAAAUUCCAGUUUAGUGAAAUCUGGAAUUUCACUAAGUCUGGGAUUCUGGAAACAUUUUCUUCUCUUAUAGAUGAGGAUGUGCUGGUCAUUGUGUUGAGAUCUAGCCUUAGUUCAGUGCUAGGAUUUUGGACCUGAUAUGUUUUUUAAGUUCCCUGUCAAAUUUCAAAUCAUUUGGAGUCUAGUAGGUUGUGUUUUGAUUGCUGUCAAAAAGCUUCAGAACAAAGACAGNNNNNNNNNNAUAGCCUUAGUUCAGUGCUAGGAUUUUGGACCUGAUAUGUUUGUGAUGCUUCCUGUCAAAUUUCAAAUCAUUUCGAGUCCAGUAGGUUGUGUUUUGAUUGCUGUCAAAAAGCUUCAGAACAAAGACAGAAAUUCAGGUGCAGGAAUUUUCACCAAGUCCCUGAGAUCUGAUGGUUUUGGGGAAGUUUGUGGCCUUGUAUAUUAAUUCCUUUUGCUGUGAUUCUUGCUGGUGCUUGUAGGGUUCUUAGUGGGCUACAGCCACAUAUAUUAUUUGACAUAUUUGGUGGCCUGUAGCUAUGUUGCAUGUAGCUCACAAAGUGCUAAGAUGCAGUUUAUGGCAGAUUAUGUAGUUUUGUCAUUUCUAUGAUUGUGUGUGCUUAGUGGAUGUGGUGGUGCUCUUACUUGCUCCAAUCCAUUCAUGUGGGAGUGGUACAUGUCUUGGCAACCUGNNNNNNNNNNUAUGCAGUUUAUGGCAGAUUAUGUAGUUUUGUCAUUUUGAUGAUUGUGUGUGCUUAGUGGAUGUGGUGGUGCUCUUCCUUGCUCCAAUCCAUUCAUGUGGGAGUGGUACAUGUCUUGGCAACCUGGGAAUACCAGAUUUGUGCCAAUUGUGAGUGUGGUGUUGAUUCUUACACGUAGAGCUUCAUAUCUUGUUUCGUUGAUUCCCGUUGAACCGUAGCUCCGUUCGCAAUGUUCUUUAUAUGUUUUUGCAUAGUUUUCACGAGACGCAUCUCUUCAUGCCAUUCUCAUGCAUGUAAAAAUAUCCUAGUUUACAGUUCUGUCCAGAAACUUAUAGUAGUUCUUUUGCUUGUGCUAGUGAUAGAAAUAGUGAUGCAUGCUCAUUUUUCANNNNNNNNNNACAAUGUUCUUUAUAUGUUUUUGCAUCGUUUUCACGAGACGCAUCUCUUCAUGCCAUUCUCAUGCAUGUCGAAAUAGCCUAGUGUAAAGUUCUGUCCAGAAACUUAUAGUAGUUCCUUUUGCUUGUGCUAGUGAUAGAAAUAGUGAUGCAUGCUCAUUUUUCAUCUCAUGCAUCAUGUGAUUGUUGCAUCUUGUNNNNNNNNNNNNNNNNNNNNNNNNNNNNNNNNNNNNNNNNNNNNNNNNNNNNNNNNNNNNNNNNNNNNNNNNNNNNNNNNNNNNNNNNNNNNNNNNNNNNGAACAACAUUCGGUAACCAACCAUAUAACUCAAAUACGCAUAAAACAAUGUCGAACCUUAAGUGUGCAGACCCUACGGGUUCAGGAACUAUGUAGACAUCACCCGAGAGACUCCUCGGUCAAUAUCCAAUAGCGGGACCUGGAUGCCCAUAUUGGAUCCUACAUAUUCUACGAAGAUUUUAUCGUUUGAACAUCAGUGCCAAGGAUUCAUAUAAUCCCGUAUGUCAUUCCCUUUGUCCUUCGGUAUGUUACUUGCCCGAGAUUCGAUCAUCAGUAUCCGCAUACCUAUUUCAAUCUCAUUUGCCGGCAAGUCUCUUUACUCGUUCCGUAAUACAAGAUCCGCAACUUACACUAAGUCACAUUACUUGCAAGGCUUGUGUAUGAUGUUGUAUUACCGAGUGGGCCCCGAGAUACCUCUCCGUCACACGGAGUGACAAAUCCCAGUCUCGAUCCAUACUAACUCAACUAACACCUUCGGAGAUACCUGUAGAGCAUCUUUAUAGUCACCCAGUUACNNNNNNNNNNNNNNNNNNNNNNNNNNNNNNNNNNNNNNNNNNNNNNNNNNNNNNNNNNNNNNNNNNNNNNNNNNNNNNNNNNNNNNNNNNNNNNNNNNNNGUAGACCGAUAAUUUCUGCAUCUACUACUAUUACUCCACACGUCGACCGCUAUCCAGCAUGCAUCUAGUGUUUUGAGUUCAUGACGAACAGAGUAACGCCUUAAGAAAGAUGACAUGAUGUAGAGGGAUAAUCUCAAACCAAUGAUGAAAACCCCAUCUUUUUACCCUUGAUGGCAACAACACGAUACGUGCCUCGCUACCCCUUCUAUCACUUGGUGAGGUCACCGCACGGUAUGAACCCAAAACCAAGCAAUUCUCCCAUUGCAAGAAUCAUAGAUCUAGUUGGCCAAACAAAACCCACAACUCGAAGUGAAUUACAAGGAUAUGCAAUCAUGCAUAAGAGAGAUCAGAAGAAACUCAAAUAAGAUUCAUAGAUAAUCUGAUCAUAAAUCCACAAUUCAUCGGAUCUCGACAAACACACCGCAAAAGAAGAUUACAUCGGAUAGAUCUCCAUGAAGAUCAUGGAGAACUUUGUAUUGAAGAUCCAAGAGAGAGAAGAAGCCAUCUAGCUACUAGCUAUGGACCCGUAGGUCUGUGGUGAACUACUCACGCAUCAUCGGAGAGGUCAUGGUGUUGAUGAAGAAGCCCUCCGUAUCCGAAUCCCCCCUCGGUAGGGCACCAGAAUGUGCCCCAGAUGGGAUCUUGCGGAGACAGAAGCUUGCGGCGGCGGAAAAGUACUUUUGAUGAUCUCCUGAUUUUUUCUGGGAUUUUAGGUAAUUUAUAGGCGAAAGACCUAGGGAAGAGGUGGCCCAGGGAGCCCACAAGCCUGGGAGGCGCGGGCCCCCCUGGCCGCGGCUAGGGGGCUUGUGGGGUCCCUGCUGCCCCCCUGCCCAGAUUCUCAGGCUUCUUGAUCUUCUUAUAUUUCGGAAAAAAUCUUUUUGGCAGUUUCGUUCCGUUUGGACUCCGUUUAAAAUCCUCCUCUGAAAAGGGUCAAAAACAUGGAAAAAACAGGAACUGGCACUUGUCACUGAGUUAAUAAGUUAGUCCCAAAAAAUAUAUAAAAGGCAUACAAAACAUCCAAAGUUUGACAAGAUAAUAGCAUGAAACCAUCAAAAAUUAUAGAUACGUUGGAGAUGUAUUAACCUACGAGGUUUGUAGUAACUUGAUCCGAAGCUCUAAUGAUCACUAUCAUCAGCUUCCACUUCAAUUGGUGUAGGCGUCACAGGAACAACUUCCUGCGCCCUGCUACACACUGGUUGAAGUGACGGUUCAAUAACCUCAUCAAGUUCCACCAGUCUCCCACCCAAUUCUUUGGAGAGAAACCUUUCCUCGAGAAAGGAUCCGUUUCUAGAAACAAACACUUUGCUUCCGGAUCUGAGAUAGGAGAUGUAUCCAACUGUUUUGGAUAUCCUAUGAAGAUGCAUUUAUCCGCUUUGGGAUCGAGCUUAUUAGACUGAAACCUUUUCACAUAAGCAUCGCAACCCCAAACUUUCAAGAAACGACAGCUUAGGUUUCUCUAAACCAUAGUCUAUGGCGUGUCAUCUCAACGGAAGUAUGCGGUGCCCUAUUUAAAGUGAAUGUGGUUGUCUCUAAUGCAUAACCCAUAAACGAUAGUGGUAAUUCGAUAAGAGACAUCAUAGUAUGCACCAUAUCAUAAUAGGGUGUGGCUAUGACGUUCACACACAUCAUCACACUAUGGUGUUCCAGGUGGCAUGAACUGCGAAACAAUUUUCACAUUGUCUUAACUGCGUACCAAAAACUCGCAACUCAGAUAUUCAUCUCUAUGAUCAUAUCGUAGACAGUUUAUCCACUUGUCACAACGAUCUUCACUCUGAAAUAGCUUUGAACUUUUCAAUAUUUCAGACUUGUGAUUCAUCAAGUAAAUACUCGUGUAUCUACUCAAAUCGUCAGUGAAGUAAGAACAUAACGAUAUCCACUGCGUGCCUCAGCACUCAUUGGACUGCACACAUCAAAAAUGUAUUACUCCCAACAAGUUACUCUCUUGUUUCAUGUAGCAUGAUCUGCAUGUCUCAAGUGAUUCAAAAUCAAGUGAGCCCAAACGGUCCAUCCGCAUGGAGUUUCUUCAUGCGUUUAUACCAACAAGUAUGGUUUGCAUGUUUCAAUCGUUUCAAAAAAUGAGUGAGUACAAAGAUCCAUCAGCAUGGAGCUUCUUCAUGCAUUUUAUACCAACAUGACUCAAGUGGCAGUGCUACAACUAAGUGGUACUAUCAUUAUAACUUUGUAUCUUUUGGCACCAAUAUUAUGAACAUGUGUAACACUAUGAUCGAGAUUCAAUAAACCAUUGAGGGUAAUUAUUCAAGCAAAUAGAAUAACUAUUAUUCUCUUUAAUUGAAUAAUUGUAUUGCAAUGAACACGAUCCAAUCAUGUUCAUGAUUAACGCAAUCACCAAAUAACAAUUAUUUAAGUUUUACCACCAAUCUGGAUGAUAGAGGGAGCGUGCGAUGUUUGAUCACAUCAACCUUGGAAACACUUCCAACACGUAUUGUCACCUCGCCUUUAGCUAGUCUCCGUUUAUACCGUAGCUUUCAUUUCGAGUUACUAAUCACUUAGCAACCGAACCGGUAUCGAAUACCCUCGUGCUACUAGGAGUAAAGUACACAUCAAUAUCAUGCAUAUCAAAUAUACUUCUGUCGACUUUGCCAGCCUUCUUAUCUACCAAGUAUCUAGGGUAGCUCCGCCUCACUGACCGUUCCCCUCAUAACAGAAGCACUCAGUCUCGGGUUUGGGUUCAAUUUUGGGUUUCUUCAUUAGAGCAGCAACUUGUUUGCCGUUUCAUGAAGUAUCCCUUCAAGCCCUUACCCUUCUUGAAACUAGUGGUUUUACUAAGCAUCAACAAUUGAUGCUCCUUCUUGAUUUCUACUUUCACAGUGUCAAACAUUGCAAAUCACUCAAGGAUCAUCAUAUCUAUCCUUGAUUUGUUUAUAGUUCAUCACGAAGCUCUAGCAGCUUAGUCGCAGUGACUUUGGAGAACCAUCACUAUCUCAUCUGGAAGAUUAACUCCCACUUGAUUCAAGCGAUUGUUGUACUGAGACAAUCUGAGAACAUGCUCAACGAUUUGAGCUUUUCUCCUUUACUUUGUAGGCAAAGAAUCUUGUCGGAGGUCUUAUAUCUCUCAACAAGGGCACGAGCAUGAAAUCUCAAUUUCAUCUCUUUGAACAUCUCUUAUGUUCUGCGAUGUUUUCAAAACGUCUUCAGUGCCUUGCUUCUAAGCCAUUAAGUAUUGCGCACUGAACUAUUAUGUAGUCAUCAAAGACGUGUAUGUCAGAUGUUUGCAGCAUCCACAAACAACACCUGAGGUGCAGCACACCAAGUGGUGCAUUAAGGACAUAAGACUUCUGCGCAACAAUGAGGACAAUACUCAGUUUUACGGACUGAGUCCGCAAAGUUGCUACUAUCAACUUUGAACUAAAUUUUCUCUAGGAACAUAUAAAAACAGUAGAGCUAUAGCGCAAGCUACAUCGUAAUUUGCAAAUACCAUUGGACUAUGUUCAUGAUAAUUAGUUCAAUUAAUCAUAUUACUUAAGAACUCCCACUCAAAAAGUACAUCUCUCUAGUCAUUUGAGUGGUACAUGAUCCGAAUCCACUAUCUCAAGUCCGAUCAUCACGUGAGUCGAGAAUAGUUUCAGUGGCAAGCAUCUCUAUGCUAAUCAUAUCAACUAUACGAUUCAUGCUCGACCUUUCGGUCUCUUGUGUUCCGGGGCCAUGUCUGCACAUGCUAGGCUCGUCAAGUUUUACCCGAGUGUUCCGCGUGUGCAACUGUUUUGCACCCGUUGUAUGUGAACGUUGAGUCUAUCACACCCGAUCAUCACGUGGUGUCUCGAAUCAACAAACUGUAGCAACGGUGCAGAGUCGGGGAGAACACAAUUUCGUCUUGAAAUUUUAGUGAGAGAUCACCACAUAAUGCUAUCGUCGUUCUAAGCAAAAUAAGGUGCAUAAAAGGAUUAACAUCACAUGCAAUUCAUAAGUGAAUGAUAUGGCCAUCAUCACGUGCUUCUUUAUCUCCAUCACCAAAGCAUCGACAUGAUCUUCUUGUCACCGGUGCCACACCAUGAUCUCCAUCAACGUGUCGCCAUCGGGGUUGUCGUGCUACUUAUGCUAUUACUACUAAAGCUACGUCCUAGCAAUAUACUAAACGCAUCUGCAAACACAAACGUUAGUUUAAAGACAACCCUAUGGCUCCUGCGGGUUGCCGUACCAUCGACGUGCAAGUCGAUAUUAACUAUUACAACAUGAUCAUCUCAUACAUCCAAUAUAUCACAUCACGUCAUUGGCCAUAUCAUAUCACAAGCAUAUCCUUCGAAAACAAGUUAGACGUCCUCUAAUUGUUGUUGAAUGUUUUACGUGGUUUCAAUGGGUAUCUAGUAGAUCGCAUCUUACUUACGCAAAAACCACAACGCAGAUGUGCAAAUUGCUAUUUAUCCUCUCCAGGGACCGCCUCGGUCAAAACCAAUUCAACUAAAGUUGAAGAAACCGACACCCGCCAGUCAUCUUUAUGCAACGAGGUUGCAUGUCAAUCGAUGAAACUAGUCUUUUGUAAGCAUACGAAUAAUGUCGGUCCGGGCCGCUUCAAUCCAAAAAUACCGCCAAAUUGAGAAAAGACUCAGGAGGGCAGCAAAUCGAACAUCACCGUCCAGAAAACCCUUUGUGUUCUACUCGAGAUUACAUCUACGCAUGAACCUAGCUCAUGAUGCCUAUGUUGGGGAACGUCGCAUGGGAAACAAAAAAUUUCCUACGCGCACGAAGACCUACCGUGGUGAUGUCCAUCUACGAGAGGAGAUUUGGAUCUACGUACCCUUAAAGAUCGCACAGCAGGAAGCGUUAAGAAACGCGGUUGAUGUAGUGGAACGUCCUCACGUCCCUCGAUCCGCCCCNNNNNNNNNNUCCGUCCCACGAUCCGCUCCGAUCUAGUGCCGAACGGACGGCACCUCCAUGUUCAGCACACGUACAGCUCGACGAUGAUCUCGGCCUUCUUGAUCCAGAAAGUAAGACGAAGAAGUAGAUGAGUUCUCCGGCAGCGUGAAGGCGCUUCGGUGGUGGUUGCUACGACAACAAAAGUUCUUCCCCGGCAAUGGCGCCAGAAAUCCUUCUUGCUACUUCUCAAACAACAACGCCAAAAUUGACACGUUGACGGAGACUUGCUUGCGUCGGUUUUUGCCUUGAAGAGGAAAGGGUGAUGCAGCACAGGAGCAGUAAGUAUUUCCCUCAGUUUGAGAACCAAGGUAUCAAUCCAGUAGGAGAAUCUCGUCAAGUCCAGAGUACCUCCACAAACAUAAAGAUCUUGCACCCAAUGCUAUAAAGGGGUUGUCAAUCCCUUCAAGAUUGAUUGCAAAGUGAGAUUUGAAGGCGGAAAGUGCAACGAAGUAAAAUUGUAAGGCUAAAAAUAUGGUGUGGAGUAGACCCCGGGGCCAUAGUGUUCACUAGAGGCUUCUCUCAAAAUAGCAAAUAUUACAGUGGGUGAACAAAUUACUGUCGAGAAAUUGAUAGAACCGCGCAAAGUCAUGACGAUAUCUAAGGCAAUGAUCAUACAUAUAGGCAUCACGUCCGAGACAACUAGACCGAUACUUUCUGCAUCUACUACUAUUACUCCACACAUCGACCGCUAUCCAGCAUGCAUCUAGUGUAUUGAGUUCAUGACGAACAGAGUAACGCCUUAAGCAAGAUGACAUGAUGUAGAGGGAUAAUCUCAAACCAAUGAUGAGAACCCCAUCUUUUUACCCUCGAUGGCAACAACACGAUGCGUGCCUCGCUACCCCUUCUGUCACUGGGUGAGGUCACCACACGGUAUGAACCCAAAACCAAGCACUUCUCCCAUUGCAAGAAUCAUCGAUCUAGUUGGCCAAACAAAACCCACAACUCGAAGAGAAUUACAAGGAUAUGAAAUCAUGCAUAAGAGAGAUCGGAAGAAACUCAAAUAAGACUCAUAGAUAAUCUGAUCAUAAAUCCACAAUUGAUCGAAUGUCGACAAACACACCGCAAAAGAAGAUUACAUCGGAUAGAUCUCCAUGANNNNNNNNNNNNNNNNNNNNNNNNNNNNNNNNNNNNNNNNNNNNNNNNNNNNNNNNNNNNNNNNNNNNNNNNNNNNNNNNNNNNNNNNNNNNNNNNNNNNNNNNNNNNNNNNNNNNNNNNNNNNNNNNNNNNNNNNNNNNNNNNNAUACUAGCUAUGGACCCGUAGGUCUAUGGUGAACUACUCACGCAUCAUCGGAGAGGUCAUGGUGUUGCUGAAGAAGCCCUCUGUAUCCGAAUCCCCCCUCCGACAGGGCACCGGAACGUGCCCCAGAUGGGAUCUUGUAGAGACAGAAGCUUGCGGCGGCGGAAAAGUACUUUCGAUGAUCUCCUGAUUUUUUUCUGGGAUUUUAGGGAAUUUAUAGGCGAAAGUCCUAGGGCAGAGCUGGCCCAAGGAGCCCACAAGCCUGGGAGGCGCGGGCCCCCUGGUCGCGGCUAGGGGGCUUGUGGGGUCCCUGCAGCCCCCCUGCCCUGAUUCUCAGGUUUCCCGAUCUUCUUCUGUUUCAGAAAAAAUCUUUUUGACAGUUUCAUUCCGUUUGGACUCCGUUUAAAAUCCUCCUUUGAAAGGGGUCAAAAACAUGGGGAAAUAGGAACUGGCACUGAGUUAAUAAGUUAGUCCCAAAAAGUAUAUAAAAGGCAUGCAAAACAUCCAAAGUUUGACAAGAUAAUAGCAUGAAACCAUAAAAAUUAUAGAUACAUUGGAUACGUAUCAAGCAUCCCCAAGCUUAACUCCUGCUCGUCCUAAAGUAGGGAAGUGAUAAAGAAUUAAAUUUUGAUGUGGAAUGCUACCUAGCAUAGUUGUCCUUUGCAACUUCUUUCAUGUGACAUGAGUGUUCAGAUCCGUGAGAUUGAAAACAAUAGUUUGCUAUUGACAUGAAAACAAUAAUACUUCAAGCAAACUAGCAAGGUAAUCAUGAACUUUAAAAAUAACAAGGCCAAGGAAAGUUAUCCCUACAAAAUUAUAUAGUCUGGCUAUGCUCCAUCAUCCUCACACAACUAAUGUAAAUCAUGCACAACCCCGGUAUUGGCCAAGAAAUAGUUUUCGCACUCUUACUUUCUCAAACUUUUUAUAACUAUCAUGCAAUACAUGAGCGUGAGCCAUGGAUAUAGCACUAUAAUUGGAAUAGAGUGUGGUGGUGGUUGUGAGACAAAAAGGAGAAGAUGGUCACAUUGACUCUGCGUAUCAAAGGGCUAUGGAGAUACCCAUUAAUAGAUAUCAAUGUGAAUGAGUAGGGAUUGCCAUACAAAGGAUGCACUAGAGCUAUAAGUAUGUGAAAGCUCAAAAGGAAAACUAGUGGGUGUGCAUCCAACUUGCUUUCUCACGAAGACCUAGGGCAAUUUUGAGGAAACCCAUCAUUGGAAUAUACAAGCCAAGUUAUAUAGUGAAGAUUCCAACUAGCAUAUGGUGGUGACGAAACGAGAGGCUCUCAAUCAUGAAGAACAUGGUGCUAUUAUGAAGCACAAGUGUGGAAAAAGAUAGUAGCAUUGUCCCUUCUCUCUUUUCUCUCUUCUUCUUUUUUAUUUGGGCUCUUAGGCCUCUUUUUCUCUUUUUUUGGGCUCUUUGGCCUCUUUUUUUAUUUUAUUUCCUCACAUGGGACAAUGCUCUAAUAAUGAUGAUCAUCACACUUUUAUUUACUCACAGCUCAAAGCUUAGAAAUGACUUCUAUAGGAAAUGCCUCCGGCAGUGUACCGGGAUGUGCAACGAUCUAGCUUGGCGUAUGACGUUGAAACAUAUCGCUAGCUAUCUUGCGAUCAUGCAAUGGAAAUAUGAGAGUGACGGCACAAGUCAUGAGACGGAACGGUGGGAGUUGCAUGUCAAUAUAUCUCGGAAUGGCUACGAAAAUGCCAUAGUAGGUAGAUAUGGUGGUUGUUUUGAGGAAGGCAUUUGGUGGGUUUGUGUACCGGCGAGAAUUGCACGGCACUAGAGAGGCUAGCAAUGGUGAAAGGUGGAAGUGCAUCUAUACCAUGGACUCACAUUAGUCAUGAAGAACUCACAUACAUGUUGCGAAAUUUUUUAUUAGUAAUCGAAACAAAGUGCUAAACGCAUACUCCUAGGGGAAGGGUUGGUAGGUGUUAACCAUCGCACGAACCCGACCUCAACACAAAGGAUGACAAUCAAUAGAUCAAUUAUGCUUCGACUUCCUAACAUAGCGGUUCACCAUACGUGCAUGCUACGGGAAUCACUAACUUUAACACAAGUAUUUCUAGAUUCACAAUACCCUACUAACAUAACUCUUAAUAUUACCAAAUCCACGCCUCCAAACUAAUUGAGAGGAAUCAAAACUUCUCUUUCUACUCAAUGCACAUGAAUAUGGAGGUUUUUGUAUCCUCUUUGGGUACCUAUCACCUUUGGGACUACUUUCAUAGCAUAAGCCAACUACCAAAUCACGCACCGCCGUGCUCUAACAGAUCUAAGUGAAGCACAUAUAGCAAAAUUGUCUAGCUGAAAAGAUAUAAGUGAAGCACAAUGAGCAUUCUAGCAAAAUCACGGUGAGUUCAUGUCUAUCUCUAAAGGUGUGCAUCAAGGAUGAUUGUGACACAACAAAAAGAAAAUAAUCCUAAGAUACAAGACACUCCAAGCAAAACACAUAUCAUGUGGUGAAUAAAAAUAUAGCUCCAAGUAAUGUUACCGAUGGAUUGAAGACGAAAGAGGGGAUGCCUUCCCGGGGCAUNNNNNNNNNNNNNNNNNNNNNNNNNNNNNNNNNNNNNNNNNNNNNNNNNNNNNNNNNNNNNNNNNNNNNNNNNNNNNNNNNNNNNNNNNNNNNNNNNNNNGGAUGCCUUUGCGGCCUGUGUUCGUUUAUGAUGGACUAGUUGGAGCACCCCUGCAGGGUUUAAUCUUUCAGAAAGCCGUGCCCACGGUUAUGUGGCAACUUGGAAUAUUUUGUUAACAUCCGGUAUUAGAGAACUUGAACAUAAGCUAAUAAAAUUGCCAACUGUGUGCGUAUCCGUGUCUGUCCCCUCGAAGAUCCCUCUUCGAUCGGGAACACGGUGGGGUUAUGAAUGCCGUAGGUAGGUGGUCAGGAUCACUUAGUGAUCAAGUAUUCCCGACCGCUAGUGUAGACCACCUUCACAAUUACUUCGCGUAAGUUAGCCACUUAAUCAAGCUUAGGAUGCUGCAGCCUUAUACACUUCACCCUUACCCUACCUAAUAACAUGACUAGUUCUGGCACCAAGGUCUUAGAUUGCUGAGUCCCCGUGGCUCACGGAUUCCUCCGAAACUCCCAGCAGGUACAGGUACCCCAGAUAUAGAUGAUCCCGACGGCACCCAGCUGGCGUGGCAGUACGACGAGGAGACAGACCGCCUCUACGUGACCUAUCCAGGGGACUGAGGCGUGGUCGUGAUCGUGGGCCUGCAGGCAGGGUAGCAUAGCAUUUCCAUGUUUUGUAGUCCGUAGCGGAACUACNNNNNNNNNNNNNNNNNNNNNNNNNNNNNNNNNNNNNNNNNNNNNNNNNNNNNNNNNNNNNNNNNNNNNNNNNNNNNNNNNNNNNNNNNNNNNNNNNNNNAAAAAAAAGAGCAGGUGGGAAAAGGGGGAAGGACUCCUCCUUCCAAACCUAAUUGGACUCGGUUUGGAAGGGGAGGGUUGCCCCCCUUGGCUCGGCCGCCCCCUUGGGAGUCCUUGGACCCCAAGGCAAGGCUCCCCCUCCUCCCCCUAUAUAUACGCAGGUUUUAGGGCUGAUUUGAGACAACUUUGCCACGACAGCCCGACCACAUAUCUCCACGGUUUCACCUCUAGAUCGCGUUUCUGCGGAGCUCGGGCGGAGCCCUGUGAGAUAAGAUCACCACCAACCUCCGUAGCUCCGUCACGCUGGCGGAGAACUCAUCUACCUCUCCAUCACUCUUGCUGGAUCNNNNNNNNNNAGUUUCACCUCUAGAUCGCGUUUCUGCGGAGCUCGGGCGGAGCCCUGCUGAGAUAAGAUCACCACCAACCUCCGGAGCGCCAUCACGCUGGCGGAGAACUCAUCUACCUCUCCAUCACUCUUGCUGGAUCAAGAAGGCCGAGAUCAUCGUCGAGCUGUACGUGUGCUGAACGCGGAGGUGCCGUCCGUUCGGCACUAGAUCGUGGGACUGAUCGCGGGACGGUUCGCGGGGCGGAUCGAGGGACAUGAGGACGUUCCACUACAUCAACUGUGUUCACUAAUGCUUCUGCUGUGCGGUCUACAAGGGUACCUAGAUCGAACAUCCCCUCUCGUAGAUGGACAUCACCAUGAUAGGUCUUCGUGCGCGUAGGAAAUUUUUUGUUUCCCACGCGACGUUCCCCAACAGUGGCACCAUGAGCUAGGUUCAUGCGUAGAUGUCUUCUCGAGUAGAACACAAAAGUUUUUGUGGGCGGUGAUGUGCGUUUUGCUGCCCUCCUUAGUCUUUUCUUGAUUCCGCGGUAUUGUUGGAUUGAAGCGGCUUGGACCGACAUUACUCGUACGCUUACGAGAGACUGGUUUCAUCGUUACGAGUAACCCCCUUUGCUCAAAGAUGACUGGCAAGUGACGGUUUCUCCAACUUUAGUUGAAUCNNNNNNNNNNNNNNNNNNNNNNNNNNNNNNNNNNNNNNNNNNNNNNNNNNNNNNNNNNNNNNNNNNNNNNNNNNNNNNNNNNNNNNNNNNNNNNNNNNNNUGGGAUCUUGUAUUACGGAACGAGUAAAGAGACUUGCUGGUAAACGAGAUUGAAAUAGGUAUGCGGAUACUGACGAUUGAAUCUCGGGCAAGUAACGUACCGAAGGACAAAGGGAAUGACAUACGGGAUUAUACGAAUCCUUGGCACUGAGGUUCAAACGAUAAGACCUUCGUAGAAUAUGUAGGAUCCAAUAUGGGCAUCCAGGUCCCGCUGUUGGAUAUUGACCGAGGAGUCUCUCGGGUCAUGUCUACAUAGUUCUCGNNNNNNNNNNNNNNNNNNNNNNNNNNNNNNNNNNNNNNNNNNNNNNNNNNNNNNNNNNNNNNNNNNNNNNNNNNNNNNNNNNNNNNUGGGUCAUGUCUACAUAGUUCUCGAACCCGCAGGGUCUACACACUUAAGGUUCGACGUUGUUUUAUGCGUAUUAGAGUUAUAUGGUUGGUUACCGAAUGUUGUUCGGAGUCCCGGAUGAGAUCACGGACGUCACGAGGGUUUCCGGAAUGGUCCGGAAACGAAGAUUGAUAUAUAGGAUGACCUCAUUUGAUUACCGGAAGGUUUUCGGAGUAACCGGGAAUGUACCGGGAAUGACGAAUGGGUUCCGAAGUUCACCGGGGGGGCAACCCACCCCGGGGAAGCCCAUAGGCCUUGAGGGAGGCACACCAGCCCUUAGUGGGCUGGUGGGACAGCCCAAAAGAGCCCUAUGCGCCAUAGAGAUAAAAAUCAAAGAGAAAGAAAAAAAAAGGGAGGUGGGAAGGAAGGGAAGGACUCCCUCCCACCAAACCAAGUCCAACUCGGUUUCGGGGGGGAGUCUUCCCCCCUUGGACUCGGCCGACCCCCUUGGGGCUCCUUGAGCCCCAAGGCAAGGUCCCCUCCCUCCCACCUAUAUAUACGGAGGUUUUAGGGCUGAUUUGAGACGACUUUUCCACGGCAGCCCGACCACAUACCUCCACGGUUUUUCCUCUAGAUCGCGUUUCUGCGGANNNNNNNNNNGGCGGAGCCCUGCUGAGACAAGAUCAUCACCAACCUCCGGAGCGCCGUCACGCUGCCGGAGAACUCUUCUACCUCUCUGUCUCUCUUGCUGGACCAAGAAGGCCGAGAUCAUCGUCGAGCUGUACGUGUGCUGAACGCGGAGGUGCCGUCCGUUCGGUACUAGAUCGUGGGACUGAUCGCGGGAUUGUUCGCGGGGCGGAUCGAGGGACGUGAGGACGUUCCACUACAUCAANNNNNNNNNNNNNNNNNNNNNNNNNNNNNNNNNNNNNNNNNNNNNNNNNNNNNNNNNNNNNNNNNNNNNNNNNNNNNNNNNNNNNNNNNNNNNNNNNNNNCGGACCGUCGCCGUUGCACGUCGAACGACGCGGAACGCCGCCGCUCGCUCCGUCCACCGGUCGCCUCCCUCCGUCCUCGGAACCAGGCGCCGCCGCCGUCCUCCGAACCCGACCGAGGCCGGCGCCGGCCGGCGCCCACUCGACCCCCGAGAACCACGUCCAGGGUCGACCUCCGAGGCGCCACUUGGCCGCGGGCAGGCUGCGCUGGCUCCGGGCUCCGGGCGCGGGGGCGGGCGAGCGGCUGCUAGGCGGAGGACGAAGAGGAGGAGGAGGAAGACUUGACGAGGGCGGAGAGCCAGACGACGACGACGUUGAUGGAGAUGGUCACGUACGGCCUAGCGUCCACGGAGAAGUUGAAGCUGAAGUAGGACGCUCCCGGCGCCGAGGAAGAUGCCGCCAUCUCCAUGUCCAUGGUCUCUGUCUGUGGUAUGCCUGUCUCCUCUGCUCUUGCUGCCUUGGUGCUUCUUGCUUGCCUCUGGGAUGAGAGUUGUCGCUGGUCGCUGCGUGCUGGAUGCUAUUUGCAGAGCACGAAGGCUUGGCAUAUAUAGCUUGGUAGCCUCGCGAUAAGGCGCGAAACAAGUUGGAAGCGGGAUCGKACCCGUUGCGACUUGGGAAGAAGGAAAGCCGGGAGCGAAGAAGGUUCCCGGAAGCGGGGAGGCGUGGUGGAAACGCCGGACCAGACCGAGCGGUCGCCGGUUCGUGGCUUGUGAAAGUGAUGGAGCUGUCGUGCGCGCGCGCGCGGGGGUGUUUUUCAGCGGGUUUCGAGGGAGCUUCGCGGCGUGGAAACAUGCGCACCGGCGACCUGACCGUCCUGCUUUCUCGUGUUCUCGGUUGGGGUUGGCGUUGGAAUUCCACGCAGCCUCUCUCUCUCCUAUUUUAGUGGGCACGUCGCUCUCGUUUCGUCUGUGGUGCAGCCGCUCGUCUGCUACUCUUUCCGUUGUCGGGUUUCCUCCUGGUUGAUUUUCUUUUUGCGACUGAAUUCUGAUUUGAUUUUGAUAGAUAUAUGUGCGGUGGUGGACUGGUCGCAGGGAGCUGGGGGUGGUAUACGGCGACCGGUGUGAAGGAAGGUUGGUGAGUUGGCUGGCGAGCGCUUGACCAGAUUUCGUGGUGGACUCGACCAAACCAAACCAAACAGUGGCGUAGGUCUUUGCGCCAGCGGGCGUGAGGGAAUGCUUGCUCGUGCCCCCACCACCGGGUCGUCUCCGAUGACUGAGGUGUUUACACGCGACAGAGGUGCUAAUUAUGUGUGCUGCCGGCUGCAUAUAGAUCGAUAUACGCUAAAUGGAAACAUGACAACAAAACGUACGUUUGCCCGCACAAACCUUCCUGGACGGCAUGUUUGUCUCACGCUACUUUUCAUCCUUUGUUUUACAAAUUUGAAAUCUGAAGCUACAUUUCUUUUAAACACGAUAUAGAUGCAAGAGCUCAUAUAUAAGAGCAACUCUAGCAUACCCCGCAUCCCGUCGGCCCGUAAAACGCGUUUGCAGGUCGCGCAAAACAGCUUUUGCAGGCUGGCGUGGGCUGGCACAGAUGCGGACCCACCAAACGGAUCCGUAAAAAAAUAUAGUCGCGAAAUAUUCCUUUUUACGGGUCGGCUUUGCGGGAUCUGCUCUUUGCACCGCUGCUUCCCACGUAUCAUUAGCCCGCAAAUAUCAAAUACUCCCUCUGUAAGUUAAUAUAAGAGCAUUUAGACUACUAAAGUAGUGUUCUAAAUGCUCUUAUAUUAGUUUACGGGGACAUAAUUCAACAGCCGAAAACAAACUGAAUUAUUCGAAUCAAACACAAUACAAUAAUCAUCCGCAUUACAAACAAUUAUUCAAAACAUGUCAUGAAUACAAAUACAAAUGAAUACAAAAAUAAGUCACUGUCCAGCCAUUUGCCAAUGGUGUUCAAUGAGAUCUUUCUGAAGUUGAAAGUGGGUGUGUGGGUUUUCAAUCUCCUUGUCUGUCUGAAGAAAAGCUCUAAUGCGGUUUGGGUCUCUAGCUGGUUUAACACGGCUACCCACAUUGUCGUAAAAGAAUUCUAAGUUCCCAAGAUUCCUCGCAAGCUUGAACAAUUUUCACAAAGAGGGAUCGACGCAUUCCUUCUUUGAGUAAAUUACCGGCAAUUUUCCUCGCAAGCUUGAACAAUUUUCACAAAGAGGGAUCGGCGCAUUCGGUACCUUCUCCGGAAGAGGUGUGGAGGAUAUGUAGGAUGUUGGGGAACGUCGCAUGGAAAACAAAUUUUUUCCUACGCGCACAAAGACCUAUCAUGGUGAUGUCCAUCUACGAGGGGGAUUUCAGAUCUACGUACCCUUGUAGAUCGCACAGCAGAAGCGUUAAUAAACGCGGUUGAUGUAGUGGAACGUCCUCACGUCCCUCGAUCCGCCCCGCGAACCGUCCCACGAACCGUCCCGCGAUCUGUCCCACGAUCCGCUCCGAUCUAGUGCCGAACGGACGGCACCUCCGCGUUCAGCACACGUACAGCUCGACGAUGAUCUCGGCCUUCUUGAUCCAGCAAGAGAGACAGAGAGGUAGAUGAGUUCUCCGGCAGCAUGACGGCACUCCGAAGGUUUGUGGUGAUCUAAUCUCAGCAGGGCUCCGCGCGAGCUCCGCAGAAACGCGAUCUAGAGGAAAAACCGUGGAGGUAUGUGGUCGGACUGCCGUGGAAAAGUUAUCCCAAAUCAGCCCUAAAACCGCCGUAUAUAUAGGUGGGAGGGGAGGGGCCUUGCCUUGGGGCUCAAGGAGCCCCAAGGGGUUCGGCCGAAGGGGGGAGGAGGAGUCCUCCUCCAAUCCUAGUCCAACUAGGAUUGGAAGGUGGAGUCCUUCCCUUCCUUCCCACUUCCACUUUUUUCUCUUUGAUUUUCUUAUCUCCCUGCGCAGGGGCCUCUCUGGGCUUGCCCACCAACCCACUAAGGGCCGGUGCGGCACCACUAAGGCCUAUGGUCUUCCCCGGGGUGGGCUCGNNNNNNNNNNNNNNNNNNNNNNNNNNNNNNNNNNNNNNNNNNNNNNNNNNNNNNNNNNNNNNNNNNNNNNNNNNNNNNNNNNNNNNNNNNNNNNNNNNNNCUAAAAAAAGGGUUACUUUUAGUUUUGUAAAACAAAUUUUUAGGUAAUGUUACCUUUUCUAUAAUUUUUACUGAAAUUACUAAAACAAUAAUUACAGUUUUUCUAAAAAAAAUAGUUUUGAAAUUUUGAAAAAAUUAGGUUUAACUUUUUCAUUUUUUUAAGGUAGUUUUAMAAAWARUUACCAAAUUWCARWAAHAAUUUAAAAAAAAUAAAAAAAAUAAAAACAAAGAACAAAAAGGGUAAAAGGGAAAGAAAAUAAAAGAAAGAAAAAAACAAACAAAAAAUCUAAAAAAGAUAAAAUACCAAAAACGUAGAAGAAACAGGAGGAACCUUCUAGGAGAAAAAACGACUGAGAAACUAUAGAAGGUUCCCCAAACCGGAAUGGUGCAACUUGUUAAUAGUCGGCCCAGGUGAUUACCAUAAAAUGGACACAAUUUUAAUUGUAGAUGUAACUAAUUCACAAAAUGAAUCGUGCAUGAAAAUUCACAUGCAUAUCUUCUUUGUGUGGCGCCCGGUUGUACAUCGUGUAGCAUUUGAUCUACAGGCGCUACACCUCUGAUAAGCGUGGCAUCCGAGGUUAUAAUUCUGAUUGUAUGAUGUUUAAAUGAAAGGAGUCACUCUACAUUAUAUGACACCCGCUGAAAGAAGCCACAUUAUUUUAUAUUAAAAUUGAUGUAACUUUUAAUCCUUGCAUCCGAUGAAAAUAUGUUUUAUAUGAAUAUUGUGUAUUUUUCUGUGUUCUACGCAAUGGUGUCAUUUCCAUCGAUGUUAAGAUCAAUUUUCUUGAUGAAAUCUCUGUUGCAAAAAUGCGUCAUAAUAUAAUUGAUCGGAUUUGUUAAGACUUACAAAGUUGACAUGAUGGUAGCCACUGACUUAUAGCUUUUAUGCAUUUGCAUUCUACAUGAGUUUUACCCUAUAUAAUGUGUAUGUUCACGUCAUGUUCAUGCUUGUCAUGUUAGUCAUCUUUAAUAUGUUCAUGUCUUGCAUCUAAGUGACUAACAUGAUAUAUUUUUUGUAAACAAUCUUAUGAAGCUUUAUUUAACUGAAAUCAAUGUUUACAGAAAUAAAUGCAGGAUCAUCGGGUUGCUUAACCACACAUGGUCGCCAACCCCUAGUCUGGUAACAUGCUUCGUUAUGGAUGGGCCAGUUCCAAACACAGUAGGCCCACUUCCACCUCGUAGCCGGGCUUAGUCAGGUCAGUCGUCCAUUGUAGGAUUUUCUUCCACCUGGUCUUCGCACCUCUGAGACGGGGAGAUGCGGAGGCCGUCGGCUUCGUCGCCUCCGGCGAGGGGACCGGCGUUGGCUGCAGCAGCCGCUGUCGUUCUCCUCCCGGCUAUUUUCCCCGCGCUGUUCUCCCCGCUCGGCCGCGCCUUCCCUUCCCUAUUCUCGGUGCGUCCCCUAUAGUCGCCAUCCUCCUCUCCAGGCGGCUCGAUUUGAGCCGGUGUAGCGUCAUAUUGGCGAUCUUCCGCUUCUCUAGCUGCUUCCUACGCCUCUCCUUGCUAGUUCGCCACUUUGCCGAGUCCGAUUGUUUGGGGUGGGCGAAAAUUGGAUAUAAUCUAGAGGGAUUGGUACUUUUGGGGGGAGGAAUGUAUGUGGAAGGUGAAAUGAUGUGGUGAAUUCGUGGCUUUGUCCCCUCUUGAAUUGGAACUAGUACGAAAUUACAUUUGUUUAUUUGGUGUAUAUGUAUGUCGAUGCAGAGUAACCUGUAAAUAAGCAAAGUGUGCAACCUGUAAAUAAGCGAAGUUUGCAAGAUCUGGAUUCUUUUGAUGGACAGCAUCAUGCCAGUUGCAUCGGAUAUUUUGGUUUGGACAGUGGUCUCCAAUGUGUGAUUACGAGUAGAUUUUUUUGUAUGCAUUUCGGGGCAGUGUGGGACGCUGGGACUGUACUCGGCUACCAUGAGCCAUGACAGUAUUGGGAAUAACAUGUGUACUGGAUUACUCUACUAUGGCUGUGAAGAUAGAUUGGCUACUGAUGUGGACCUUAGUAAAUAUUUCUGCAGACUGCAAUAUUGUCUUUUUAAGAUUAAUCAUGUGGACAGCGUGUAUACUGCAGGAGUGGAAUGCCCCUAAGCCAAUGCACGAGUCUCUUUUCAAUGAGUCUUUGCGAUGGACAAUAGUGAGUAUUCACAACUCAGAUAAAUACUGGAAAUAGUUAUGUUGAAGUCUAUUUGUAACUUACUCUCUGUACAGCCAGAUGAACAAAAAAGAGAUCUCUGGACACCCUUGCCUGAUCAGGGGUGGAAACCAUGCAUAAGGUCAUCGAUCACUCGUGGUAACAUUCUGUGAUAAAUCUGUUUAGGUAAUGAUAUGCCUCCCGCUGCGAUAGAUCACUAAGCAUUUGGUUAUAUGAAGUGUAGGGUUACCUUCACAACCCAGUGGGUACAUACAAGUAUUUCUUGAUGGUGGCCUGAACCAGCAGAGAAUGGGGGUAACUCACUUCUUAUGUACCAAACUCAUGAUGUUAGAUUUAAUAUAACUUGCUUGGUUGAAACUUCAGAUCAUCUGGCUCUUUCUUUUUGUUCUCUAGAUAUGUGAUGCAGUUGCGGUUGCUAAGAUUUUGAACGCUACUCUUGUGAUCCCACAUCUUGAAGUAAACCCUGUUUGGAAAGACUCAAGGUGCUUUUGGAGUUUCAGAGUACUACUGUAUCUUGUUAAUUUUAAAUACUCCUGUUAGAUUGGAAGUGAAAGGUUUAGUUUGGUCUGCAGCUCAUUUGGAGAUAUUUUUAAUGUGGAUCACUUCAUCAACACCCUAAGAGGCGAUGUUUCAAUAGUGAGAGCUCCAUUAAAAGAAUUUUCGUGGAGCACAAGAGAGUUCUAUAGCACAGGAAUACGUGCUACAAGAAUAAAAACUGCACCUCUUCAUGCCUCGGCUAAUUGGUAUAUAGAGAAUGUCAGUCCUAUCCUGCAAAGGUUUGUGAUUUUCUUGGCCAUAUAGUCGCUUCUCUAGACCCCUUGAGUAAGUGGCAUAAUAAUGCUAAGAAACUGCAGUUCAUGUUUAGCCCAGGUUGAUGGCCACUGAACUGGCUUUAUAGUAUUAACAUGACAACUCGUUGUCUAACUUCAUUAGUUGGUUACUCUGUGAGGGGAAUCCUUCACCGAAAAUCUCAUGCAAGCGUUGUUUCCCUUGUCAGCUAUGGCAUUGCUGCCAUUGCCCCCUUUUCUCACCGCCUUGCAUUCGAUGAUUUGCCUGUGGAUAUUCAACGCCUGCGCUGUAAAGUUAACUUUGAAGCCCUGGUUUUUGUGCCUUACAUUAUAUCACUGGGGAGGACCCUUGAGAAGCGCUUGAGAUCUCCAGUGCAGGGGCAUUCCACUGAAUUAACCCAACAAGUUGUAGAAGAUUACACAGAUCAGUCUGAAAAGUAUGCAGUUGUACAUCUCCGCUUCGAUAAGGUAAAUGGAAGGGCUUCUGCUAUAUUUGGAAGUCGUACGUGUAUAUUUUUGUUAUCUUCAAGGAAUUUCCACUCUGAAACAACUCAAGCUGACCUACAUUUUUCAGGAUAUGGCUGCACAUUCUGCCUGUGACUUUGGCGGUGGUAGAGCUGAAAAAUUAGCUCUGGCUAAGUACAGGCAAGUUAUCUGGCAAGGGAGGGUAUUAAAUUCACAGUUAAGUGAUGAGGAGCUUCGAAACACAGGACGCUGCCCGUUGACUCCAGAAGAGAUUGGAUUGAUACUAGUAGCGCUUGGCUUUGACAGCAAAACUCGAUUUUAUCUUGCCUCUCACAAGGUUUGACUCUCUGCCUCUGCCGGUGCGCUUACUUAUUCUCCGUAGUGGAAGCAGAAAUUUCUAACAUACGUCACCUAUUAAGGUAUAUGGAGGGGAAGCUAGGAUCUCUAGCUUGCGCAAGCUUUUCCCGCUGAUGGUAGACAAGAGGAGCCUUGCAUCGGCAGAUGAGCUUGCUAGUAUCGAAGGGAAGGCUUCUGUGCUAGCAGCUCUUGACUACCAUAUCAGCAUGCACAGCGAUGUUUUCAUCUCUGCUUCUCCUGGCAAUAUGCAUAAUGCACUGGUAAAUCCUGUUUGGCUUCAGCUGUAUUCGCUAGAUUUCUCCUCUUUCUUUAUUGGUCCUGACCAGAUGAUGGUUGAUUCAGCUGGCCCACCGGACCUAUAGGAAUCUGAAGACGAUAAGGCCAAACAUGACAUUGCUUGGCCACAUAUUUGUGAACAAGAGCAUGGAGUGGUCAGAGUUUCAGCAGGCUGUGCAGGCAGGCCACAAAGGUAGAUACGGGCAGAUCCGGCUGAGGAAGCCGAAGCAGUCUAUCUAUACUUAUCCUGCCCCAGAUUGUAUGUGCCCAGGGUAGAUCGCCAAGUUUUCUGCGGUGCACCGACAAAAGAAAUGUGCUGAGUUACUUGCAGUUUCUAAUUAGGUUAAGCUCAUGUGGAUAUGUAUAUUUAGUUCUGAAUUUUCGGUUGAAUCAGUUUGCUGCCACUUCCAAUAGGAUCUUAAAAUUUUAACCAAAAUUUACGCACUAUACGUUGAGCCUUGAAGGACUCUAAUCUUGUGCUGUUUGCACGAUCCAUACGACGAAGUUGUAGUUUUGGAGCUGAUGUUGUGUAUCUGUGACCUGACUUGAUAUACUGGAUCCUUUUUCUUCUUUUAUUCCGCUGUUCUACUUCUGGGAGUCCGGUGUUCUGAAUUUCUGCUUUGAUUUAGUAUUACUAUCGUCAUGGCGAAUUCGAUACUAAUGCUUCAAACUAGUAGUAUGUUUUGCCAUGUUUUAAAAUAACACGCAUGGGUGAUAUUACAAGUACAGCCUCCGUCGGAAGCCAUGGGCGAAUCCACAAGGACAAAGUUUCACCACCGGAACUUUAAGAUUACAACACGUUUUUGCACUGCCACCUACUCCUCCACACUUUGUACAUCCUCAGCACCCCAAAAUAAUAAUUCAGACCACCUGAAACCUCCUUGGUCGGUGAAAUCGACGGAUUUAUUGGCCGGAGAUGGUCUGGAUGAUGGUGUUGUGCCAUGGGUCGGCCAGGUGCUGCUGCAGGUUCUCGAACGGCCCCUUCCCGGUCACGUUGUGCUGCACCAGGAACCCCAGGAACGCCAGCAUGGCCAGUCUCCCUGAACGAAUGAACGCGCGCGCGAAUACAGAUUAACGAGAGCCGUCGGAUUAGAAACCCGAGGGUUCAGAUGAGACUGAAGAGAGGAUGGACGUACCGUUGGCGAGCUCCUUCUCCUUGUUCUCGAGGGUGGGGGCGAAGUUGAGGGGGUUGAAGACGCUGCCGGGGUAGCCGCACUCGUGGGGCGGGAGGCUGUAGCUCUUGAAGAUGGGGUCCUGGUUGACGGAGCCCGGGUUCUUGAUGUCCUGCCACCGCCGGAUCUCGACGUAGUGGAAGAGGAUGAACUCGAUGACGAAGAGCGUGGAGGAGGAGGCGAAGUAGGUCUCCUUGCCGGCGUCGUACCACUCGGGCGCGUUCAGCAGCCCCGCCUUGGUCAGCACCUCCGGGAUCAGCAUCCCCGCCACCCCCAGCAUCGCCCACCGCCCGUUCACCAGCUCCGCCUGCACGAACCACCGCAGGUCCUCCGGGUCCUCCGCCAGCGCCAGCGGGUCAAAACCAUUGUCACCCGCCA
rnacentral:lncRNA from 1 species